rnacentral:misc_RNA from 1 species
AACGCACAUGGCGCUUCGUAUGAAGCAUGCUUGUUUCAGUGUCAUACCCCAUCACGCUGCCCCUCGGGGUGCCGUGGUCUAUGGGCCCCACGAGGUUUGCGCCUCGCGUCGCUUCAAGAACGGUCGCGAACAACCCGGUGAACGCUCCCGGCUCUCACUUGCCUCAACAGCUUGUGGGCGGCCCGAGAAGAAGCGCGGUGUGGUAGGUCCUCUCGGACACAACCCCUGUGACCUUCCCCUCGGUGCUCCGUAUGCCGGCGACGCGACUCCCGCGGACAAUCGCUAGGCACUCAUCCUGCCGAAUCGGCGCGCUCGCGCGCCAACCCCACUCAUACCUUUGACCUGAAACCAAGUAAGAGGACCCGCUGAAUUUAA